GACGAACGCUGGCGGCGUGCUUAACACAUGCAAGUCGAGCGGAAAGGCCACUUCGGUGGUACUCGAGCGGCGAACGGGUGAGUAACACGUGAGUAAUCUGCCCUUGGCUUUGGGAUAGCCACCGGAAACGGUGAUUAAUACCGGAUACGACCACUUCUCGCAUGGGAUGGUGGUGGAAAGUUUUUUCGGCCAGGGAUGUGCUCGCGGCCUAUCAGCUUGAUGGUGAGGUAAUGGCUCACCAUGGCUUCGACGGGUAGCCGGGCUGAGAGGGUGACCGGUCACACUGGGACUGAGACACGGCCCAGACUCCUACGGGAGGCAGCAGUGGGGAAUAUUGGACAAUGGGCGGAAGCCUGAUCCAGCAACGCCGCGUGAGGGAUGACGGCCUUCGGGUUGUAAACCUCUUUCAGCAGGGACGAAGCGCAAGUGACGGUACCUGCAGAAGAAGCACCGGCCAACUACGUGCCAGCAGCCGCGGUAAGAC
rnacentral:rRNA from 1 species